UAGGGGAGAAGUGGCAUGAAAGAGCCAGGUUUUGAAAGAGCCACUUGCAUUAUUUCGGUAGUUUUAGAACAGAUUUGGUUGGCAAUAUUAUUUUUAGGUGGCAACACUGAUUUCCCGUCACCCACAAACAUUUGACAGUUCGCCGAAACCAACCGCCAUCGGUGCAUCGAGUCGAAGGUUUAGGCACUCAAAAAUAUUUCAAUAUGGAGAAAGUUGGUCCAAAAAAACGAAAAAGACCCAAUAAAUCGGGAAUUGAAGAGGCAGUUGCUGAAGUUUUAGAAAAGCGCCAGUCUAUAAAUAAAACUGCACUUGCCUUAAAUAUAUCGCGGGCUUAUUCAGCAAAAAUAGUUAAAAAAGCAAAGAAUACUGGUGAAUUACCAUAUAAACACUGUCCUAAUAUAGGAAAUAAGCGUAUUUUCACAUCGGAGCAGGAAAACAUGCUUGCGGAUUAUUUAAAGACUGCUUCUAAAAUGUGCUAUGACUUAACAAGGCAUCAAACUAAGAAACUGGCAUUUGAUUAUGCCAAAGCCAAUGAUAUUUGCCCAGAUAAAUGGAAAGAAGCCGAAACUGCUAGUGAUGAUUGGCUCAAAGGAUUUAUGAGCAGACACAAAGAUUUAAGUGUGAGAAAACCGAACCUGAACCUGAAAGCACUUCUCUAUCCCGUGCAACAUCCUUUAACAAAAUAAAUGUAGGAAUGUUUUUGAGAAAUUAAGCAUUGUUUUACGCAAACACAAUUUUCCUCCCCAUAUGAUUUUUAACGCCGACGAAACAGGCUGCAGUACAGUCACCAAUCCCCCUAAAAUCAUAGCUGAAAAAGGUUCCAAACAAAUUGGACAAGUAUCUUCAGCCGAACGAGGAACGUUGGUGACAACUCUGUUCUUUAUGUAGUUAUUUAUUUUUGAUAAUUUUCAAAUUACGCGUUGUUAUACUAACCGGCUCUUUCAAAACUUAUGGCAGCUCUUUCAAUACCGAGCUGUGAUGAAAGAGCCGAAUGACACAUUUUUUUGAAAUGCAUAUUUCGUUGAUUUUUAUAUAUUAUUUAAGAUUUUUUUGUACGAAAUUACGUACUCAAAUAAAUAAAGGAUAAUUUUUAAAAUAAAAAAUUACUUCUUUUUCA